CUUCCCUCCUUUGCCCACAGAAUCCUCCUGAGUCCGAAGCACAGAUUUCAAGCCUCUCGGUGGCACAUCUGCAUCUCCUGGCUGCUGAGGAGCUGAACCCAGAGGCAGUGUCCUGCCUCACACCUGCAGCAUUCUCCCCUUGGGAUGUUUCCUGAGUGCAUAGGACCAUGGAAAGGUUCCUGCCAGGUAGAGGAAGGCAGCUCUGCAAUAGAUACCCACGUGCACACCCUACCCCAGGGCUGCCCAGUGACUCCAUCCCCGUCUCCUCCGGGAGAGGUCUGCAGGCAAGCCGAGAUGUGGAGGUCAAAAGACAGGAGGGAACAGGGAACAAACCUUGGGAAGUCCUCGUCUUGCCACUCCUCCUUCACAUCCACGUUUUCCAUCCGCAAAGUGGCCUCUGUGGUCCCCAUGGUGCUCAGAGAGGGGCCGGCUGCACAGCAGGUCCCUUGGGGAAGGGCUUGGGCUGGAAGGUGGAAGGCAGAGGUUGGCACCAAACCAUUCAGAGCAGCAAUUCCCGACUGCUGCUCCUGGUUUGUUCUCCAUCCCCACGCUUGUCCCUGCACCCUGAGAGAAACGGGGCUGAGGGCUCAGGACCAGCUCUGGUCAGAGGGAGCAGGCAGGCUGGAUGCUGCUGUGGCUGAGCUUAGCUGCACCUGAGUCUGGAGGGGACAAGGUCAGGCCUUAUCCUGUACAGAACUCGCUGAUGUGAAACCAGCUCCUGUGUCGGGCACGUGCAUUAACCCACUGCAGUCAAAGGAGAUACCUUGGGGCUGAGAGAGACCCCACCUUCCCUCCCUCCUCCCCACCGCUGUCAUCAGCUUUCUGCUAACCCUGCGCGCAUCAUGGAGGGAGGAAGAGAAAGGAAAGGUAUGAAGCAAAUCCCAGGCUGGAGUGGGAUGUUCCUCAGUAUCAGACAUCACCCAGCAGUAUGGAAGCCCAGAUGAUGCUGUACUCACCAGUGCC